rnacentral:lncRNA from 1 species
CUCAGGCAGGGGGGUGGGAUGGGAAGAGGGCUCCCGCUGCCGCGGGGGUGCUGCUGCCCCGGGUGUGCCGGGUGAGCCGCAUUUCCCGGUGCCGCCGUGCAGGAGCAGCAUCCCGGCCGCUGUUUCCCGCUGGCAGCAGCACAGCCGCGGUGCCGCUCCAGCCUUUCUCUCCUCGCUGCUGCCGCUGCUCCUCCCGCGGGCUGGGGCCGAGCGCUGCUCCCGGGAGCCAGAACAGUCCCGCAGGCUGCGGCACGGCCCCGCUGCCCUGGGAAGGCUGCUGGGGAAGGGAACACGACGGGGCCUCGGUGUCUCCUGUGCCAGCACUCGGGAGAGAAGGACGUGCAGAGCAGUGGGGAAGUGGACGCGAGUCGCCAUGGCAACCGGGAUGGAAACAUCAUCAAAGUGUGUCAAACGAGGGGAAUUACAAAAAAUAGAAACCCAGCGUGGUGUGGGCAAACACUGCAGCUUCAAGGGGCUGCUCCUGACAGCACCUGGGCAUCCUCCCCGUGCUGUGGUGCUGCUGCCAGCACCUGCUCCAAGUCGUGCUGUCACCUGGGGCAUCUCCAGCGCAUCCGUGAGUGGAUCCCGGUCCCUGGGAAUGAGCCGGGCAGCCACCGGCUCCUCAGGGGGACACGAGCCCCACGUUUUCAGCUGCAGUGAGGGCACAGCUGGGCACAGACACGUCGGGCACCUCCGCUGGCACCGUGUCACCUCUGCGUGACCCCCCUCCACAACCAAUUAAUUUGUAAUAAUAAGCCUUGCACUUGUUUCCAGCUGUUUGGGGUAUUUUUUUUAAGUAAAUGAAUUUGUAAACAAUUCGUGCUAUUUUAUCUGUCAGUUAUGCUCCCAGGAUUUGUAAUUUUAACGCAUGACAUCAGUUAAUCACAAUUUUCUUUCA